rnacentral:misc_RNA from 1 species
GGGCUUCCUCAAUUGUUUCCAUUAAGGUUAAUCCUACAUUUGUAAGCUGCAGAGGUGGUUAUGCCACUUGGUUUAGCAAGAAAGCAAGUGAUCCUAAUGUCCUUAUUGGUGCUAUUGUUGGUGGCCCUGAUGCCUAUGACAAUUUUGCCGAUGAAAGGGACAAUUAUGAGCAAACAGAGCCUGCUACCUACAACAAUGCUCCUAUUCUUGGUAUAUUGGCACGCCUAAAUGGUGGACAUGGAGGCUACAACCAACUUCUUCCAGUGGUGGUU